rnacentral:rRNA from 1 species
AUUGAACGCUGGCGGCAGGCCUAACACAUGCAAGUCGAGCGGAUGAAGGGAGCUUGCUCCUGGAUUCAGCGGCGGACGGGUGAGUAAUGCCUAGGAAUCUGCCUGGUAGUGGUUGAUAACGUCCGGAAACGGGCGCUAAUACCGCAUACGUCCUGAGGGAGAAAGUGGGGGAUCUUCGGACCUCACGCUAUCAGAUGAUCCUAUGUCGGAUUAGCUAGUUGGUGGGGUAAAGGCCUACCAAGGCGACGAUCCGUAACUGGUCUGAGAGGAUGAUCAGUCACACUGGAACUGAGACACGGUCCAGACUCCUACGGGAGGCAGCAGUGGGGAAUAUUGGACAAUGGGCGAAAGCCUGAUCCAGCCAUGCCGCGUGUGUGAAGAAGGUCUUCGGAUUGUAAAGCACUUUAAGUUGGGAGGAAGGGCAGUAAGUUAAUACCUUGCUGUUUUGACGUUACCAACAGAAUAAGCACCGGCUAACUUCGUG